GGGGAAGCCGGUAGGAAUCCGGCACUGUCCCGCAACGGUGUGCGUGGCCCGCUCAGGCCGCGCGAGUCCGAUCACCC
rnacentral:ncRNA from 2 species